AGUUUAGUAAUUUAUUAUAAAAUAUUAAAUUGCAAAUUUAAAAAUAUUAAAUAUUAAUUUAAACUU
rnacentral:tRNA from 1 species